AACGAACGCUGGCGGCAGGCUUAACACAUGCAAGUCGAGCGCCCCGCAAGGGGAGCGGCAGACGGGUGAGUAACGCGUGGGAAUCUACCCAUCUCUACGGAAUAACGCAUGGAAACGUGUGCUAAUACCGUAUACGCCCUUCGGGAGAAAGAUUUAUCGGAGAUGGAUGAGCCCGCGGUGGAUUAGCUAGUUGGUGGGGUAAAGGCCUACCAAGGCGACGAUCCAUAGCUGGUCUGAGAGGAUGAUCAGCCACACUGGGACUGAGACACGGCCCAGACUCCUACGGGAGGCAGCAGGGGGGAAUAUUGGACAAUGGGCGCAAGCCUGAUCCAGCCAUGCCGCGUGAGUGAUGAAGGCCCUAGGGUUGUAAAGCUCUUUCACCGGUGAAGAUAAUGACGGUAACCGGAGAAGAAGCCCCGGCUAACUUCGUGCCAGCCGCCGCGGUAAUAC
rnacentral:rRNA from 1 species